UAUGGGAUGAAGAUGAGUCAUGAUGAGUUCUUCAUGGAGACUCACAUCCGGAAGAAGAAGGCACCGACAGAUCCAACUAGAUGGGUUGAGGACCGGACGGAGACUACACAUGGUCGCUACAAGAUUAAUGUGGAGGAGUACACUCAGAGCUUGCCACCGAAUGAGUAAGGCGAGCUACCGCCCAUUUCAGACGAAGAAGCGCAGAGGAUAUGGUUGAAUGUUGUCGAUGGUCCUAAAAAGGGGAUAUCAUACGGUCUUCCAGAUAAAUCAUUUCGGCGCUACAUGGCUGGAUUGCAAAGUAUAGGGAUUUUCGCCCAAGGCGAGACGAUUGAUAGGUCGACUAUAUCGUCUAUGGAACAGAAGACCGCAAAAAUGAUAGCAGACCUUGAAGAGACAAAGGCUAAAGAAAAAAAGAGAGAGAUGAACAAUUUGGUACCCUUCAAGUUCAGCUAGAAAGGAGGGACAGACAAUUUAAUCUCCUUCAAGGUCAGCUGGCUAAUCUUCUUGCUAGUGGUGUUUUUCCCAUUCUGCGGUCUCGUGAGCCUUCCCCAUGUGCCGACGAUGAAGGUUCUAGGAGUGAAAAUGGACAUGAUGCUGGAUAAAAAAAACUUAUUGAAUGGUGUGUAUUGCUAAACAAAGUAUUGAACUUGUCAAUAUUUAGUUGAGACUAGUUUUGAAUGAUGAUUAUAUUGUUAUUUUGUUAUUGAACAUUUUAGUAGUUGUUGUUGUGGUUGUUA